AUUGAACGCUGGCGGCAUGCCUUACACAUGCAAGUCGAACGGCAGCACGGGGCAACCUGGUGGCGAGUGGCGAACGGGUGAGUAAUGCAUCGGAACGUACCUUUCAGUGGGGGAUAACGUAGCGAAAGUUACGCUAAUACCGCAUCUUCUGUGAGCAGGAAAGCAGGGGAUCGCAAGACCUUGCGCUGAUUGAGCGGCCUAUGUCAGAUUAGCUAAUUGGUGAGGUAAAGGCGCACCAAGGCGACGAUCUGUAGCGGGUCUGAGAGGAUGACCCGCCACACGGGAACUGAGACACGGUCCAGACUCCUACGGGAGGCAGCAGUGGGGAAUUUUGGACAAUGGGGGCAACCCUGAUCCAGCCAUGCCGCGUGAGUGAAGAAGGCCUUCGGAUGGUAAACCGCUUUCGGCCGGGAAGAAAUCGCACGGGCUAAUACCCUGUGUGGAUGACGGUACCGGAAUAAGAAGCACCGGCUAACUACGUGCCAGCAGCCGCGGUAAAAC
rnacentral:rRNA from 1 species